GUAAGUGUUUGUCAAAGCAUGCACACUGUUCAAAAGUUGCAAUUGUGCAUUAAAAUUACAUGGUCAUGCUUGUAGGUAACAGCAUAAAACGUUUUUUAAAAGAAUGUUAAAGUGUUAUGUAAAAUGAACACGAACUUGCAUUUAUUUUUAUAGGGGCCAUUCACAAAGGAUGUCCAAGCCGGGGGGAUUGGUAAAUCAGGACAAACUCAGACAUAAGGGAGGGGUUUUAGCAAUCUGGA